rnacentral:rRNA from 1 species
CACGCAGGCGGAUAAUUAAGUGAGAUGUGAAAUCCCCGAGCUUAACUUGGGAAUUGCAUUUCAUACUGGUUAUCUAGAGUCUUGUAGAGAGGGGUAGAAUUCCACGUGUAGCGGUGAAAUGCGUAGAGAUGUGGAGGAAUACCGGAGGCGAAGGCGGCCCUUGGACAAAGACUGACGCUCAUGUCGAAAGCUAGGGAGGCAAACA